AUGUUGCAUUCUGAAGUGCAAUUCCUUCUAUUUUAUCUUUCGAGAUGGUGUUAUGUCACUCUUGACAAUUUCCUUCAUGUUUCAUUAUUCAUAUGUUGUCAAGAACGAGGUAUUUUAAAUCCAUCAAUCUCUCCGUUGGAGUUAUCUUGGUAUAGAUUUCACCUAAAGCCUUCCCUAAGGAAUGUUGUAUUGUGGUGCUUAUCAAUGGUCCAAGUUUUCUCCUAUCCUCUCGGCGAAAGCAGUUUUCAUCUCUUCGUUGAUCUCAAGCAAGCAAUUGUUUCCGUUAGUGGCCGGUUGUCACCUCAUAAUUUUGAGAUGUUUUCCAUAAGCCCACUACAAGCUUAUUCUUUUCGUUGUUGGUUUUUCCAACAACUCCACUCUAACCUUCUUGGAAGGGUGCUUUCCAAGAUCAUUUGUGGCAAAAGUUGGCAUUUUCUUCUCCAUUCUGUUAUUCCAAUGAUCUAUCUCCUAUUCUUUCUUCCGGAGGCUUUGUGA
rnacentral:rRNA from 1 species